AGUGCUAUUACUGGAGAGUAUAAUAUGUUUAACUUUAAAAGAAACUGCUAAAGUGUCUCCUAGAGUAGCAGUACCAUUUUGUGUUUCCACCAACAAU
rnacentral:pre_miRNA from 1 species